ensembl:lncRNA
CUCAGCCAGGCGUGGGGGCACCGGGUCUGUGACGGGCUGGCCAGGGCGGGCGUCCUCUCAGGGCAGCACAGGGCAGUGGUAAGGGCGGGUUUCUUAGAAAGAGUGGAAAGUAAAACUGAAAAGCUGAAUUCACUUAUUUUGGAAAUCAAGACAUCCACUGUAAAAGUUCCAGUGUUUCCUGAGAAAAACCUGACUGGUAAGACUCCUGAAUUGCAGGGUUUAUUGCUCAAAACAGUACAUUUUUCUUUAAUACCAGAGCUGAGUGAGGAAUAAGUUUAUAUUUUGAUUCCAGGUAACAGCACAAGCUAUUUCUGUGAUAGGCUAAUCCUUAAACAGCUAUGGAGUGGAGGUACCCAAAUCCUGCUUUUACAGUGGAGUCAGUCAACCUCUUCAUUAUUUUAAUUAUACUCUUGUUAAUGAACUUCAAUAAACUUUACUGUUUCCAAACAGUUUGAACAAGACAACUAUUUAAUAAAUAAAAAACCAAAUGAGCCAAAACCGGCUUUUUUUAAAUCUAAGAAAUGAUUACAGAAUAAAUUGUUAAACCAAAUAUUAAAACAACAAAGUGUGUAGAUACCGUUAAAGUCUUCUUGGCAUUCAGCGCUUAGCUAGAACAUAAUAAAUAACAUAUUAGUCUUAGUUUUUCCCUCAAUUUGUGAGUCAAUAAUUUCUAUUAACAGUUCAUAAAAUGGCACGUCAACAUGAAGUGUAAGUGCGUUUCUUAUAGAAUGCUGAAGCAAUAAAAUCCCCACAGAAGUCGAGAAAGCAAAUUAGCUAUUCUCCCUUCUCCUACCUUGAUGUUUAAGAAAGAUUAACUUUUCUCUGGGUGUCGCAGAUGUUUGUUAUUUUUUAAAAACUCAUGAAAGAAGCACAUAAACGGGAACAGUCACUGCCUUCUUUGGCAGGCUGCGGGCAUGAACGGACUUGUUAGAAAACCCUCAGUGGAGGACUUUAUAACACGUGGAAACAUUAGAUUAUACACAUUCUCACAAAAUGGUCUUUCUUUCAGAAGAGCAUCUUCUUAAAGCCAUCCAACAAAAACAUCCAAGUGUAAGUUUUCAAAAACCUCCGUUAAAAUUCCACAGUCCCAAGCUGACUUCAUUCAUUCGGCCACUGAAUACGUAUUUAUUUAUUGCCUCUUGUAUGUACAAGAGGGGUUUCCCAAAGAAUCUGUCCACAUGUAUAAGAAAUCACACUGGGUGCAACGGUUUCCUUAAGCACUGAUUUCUCUAAAAAUAUAUAUUUGUAUUAGUGAGUACCUUUUCAUUGUUUUAUAUUAACGGUUUCUUCUCUGUGUAUUCCUAGUAAUUAUGUAAGGUUCUUAUGGAAGGGAAGUGAUCUUUGUGUGUGCGGUUGCUUCAGUGAUACCUUUGCGCUCAUUCCUGAGGAAGGCAGGUAGGGAGACUUUUGGAAAGGGAUGGGGGGUGUAGUGGGCUUCCCCAGAGGCCCAGUGGGUGAAGAAUCUGCCUGCAGUUCAGGAGACUUGAGGGGGAGGCAGGAGGCAGGAGACUGGGGAGCCCAGUGCAGGCUCCCCCUGGGGAGCAAAUGGGAGAAAUGGAUUGCUGUGAAUUGGGCUGGGCAAAGGGCAAGGGAGCCAAGGACCGAAGGGACCGGAUGAACAGCAGAGACCCCAGGAUCAGAGUUCAGAUCCCAGCCUUACCGCUUCCUGCCUCUGUGGCCUGGACAGCUUGCUUACCUCUCUACACUUCUCCUUUGUUGUUUUUUAGUUGCUAAGUCAUGUCUGACUCUUGUGCGAACCCAUAGACUAUAGCCCUCCAGGCUCCUCUGUUCAUGGGAUUUUCCAGGCAAGAAAUACUGGAGUGGGUUGCUAUGCCCUCCUCCAGGGGAUCUUCCUUCCCAACCUAGGGAUUUAAUCUGCGUCUCCUGCGUUGGAGGCGGAUUCUUUACCACCAAGCCGCCAGGGAAGCCCACACCUCUGCUUCCUCAUUUAAUAAAAGGGAGGAGAUAAUGGUAGUAAUAAUAAUAAUUGUAUCUACCUCAUAGGCUUGUUGGGAGGGUUGCUGCUGCUGCUGCUGCUGCUGCUAAGUCGCUUUAGUCGUGUCCGACUCUGUGAGACCCCAUAGACGGCAGCCAACCAGGCUCCGCCAUCCCUGGGAUUCUCCAGGCAAGAACACUGGAGUGGGUUGCUAUUUCCUUCUCCAAUGGAUUAAAGUGAAAAGUGAAAGUGAAGUCGCUCAGUCGUGCCCGACUCUUAGCGACCCCAUGGACUGCAGCCUACCAGGCUCCUUUGUCCAUGGGAUUUUCCAGGCAAGAGUACUGGAGUGGGUUGCCAUUGCCUUCUCCGAGUUGGGAGGGUUAAAUGAAGUCAAUAUAUAUAUAUAAAGUUCUUAGGGUAGUGUCAGACAUGUAGUAAGCGAUGGAUCAAUUUCAGCUGUUAUUAUGGUUAGAGAUCCCCUUAGAGGGAAGGCCAUGCAGUCAGAGAGGUCAGCCUGAGGUAGGAUGGUGAUGUUCUCAAAGCCAUUCCAGACCCCUUUCCUGGCAGAUGUGCAUACAAGGUGUGCAUUUUGUAUCCCUAGAUCAUUGUUCCUCAGUUAUCUCUGUCUUCAAAAAAACAAGUUUAUCUGUAUGAACAGAGUCUACAGCAUGCAUCCUAUAAUCAUGUGCUGACAUAGAAACUGUAAGGAAUCAGUGUCAUUUAUCUGUCUUUCAUCACAUUUAGGGUGAUAGGGUGAAUGAGCACCAUGUUAGGAGUCCAGAGACAUGGGUUUGGGACUACAUCUAACCUUGUCACUGACUAGCUGUGACCUUAAGCAUGCCCCUUCUUCUGUACGAGGUCUCUGACUCCUUUCCUGUAAAAUGAGGAUAGCCUUUGGGGCUCCCAGAAGGCCUUUCAACUCUAGUAGUCUGUGCUAAGGCAUCACUGAGUUCUAGCUAAUAACAGUUUCAAGUGGGAAUGGUGUUCAUUCAUCACACUAUACUGAGUAAAAUCAGAGAGCAGGAAGACCAAGGAUACAGACCUCCUAAAGGUGGCACCCAUGAGCUCCAUCCCCACCGCCCACAGGAGUGAGGACAGGAAGCUCACCCCUGACCAACAAGGUGUUCAGUCACAUUUCAGGAACUGUGUCCUACAAGCCUGUAGCGGGCGAAAGCAGCAAAGAUCUUAUUGCUGAAAUGUAAUUGUGUUGCCUCCUCGGGCCCCUGACACUGCUCUGCAUGUCCAUUCCGUGUCCCGCUGGCCCAGAAGUCUGGACUGAACCAGCGCGAGGGCAUAUCCAAGCCCCAUAGAGGCCAGUGCAGCAGCUGCUGGGAGGUUUGCAGUGUAACCGUUUCUAAUAGUAGGUUAAGUGUUUUGAAUGGAGGGCCUUGGGCCCAAGGGGAAAAAUAACACUGCAGUUAUUCUGAAUUACUGCAGAAUUAGAUGAUCUGCACUGUAGGUGGCGCUAGUGGUGAAGAACCCGCAGGAGACUGGCGGGACGUGGGUUUGAUCCCUGGAUUGGGAAGAUCCCCUGAAGGAGGGCAUGGCAACCCACUCCAGUAUGCUUGCCUGGAGAAUCUCUAUGGACAGAGGAGCCUGGAGGGCUACAGCCUAUAGGGUCGCAGAGUCGGACACAACUGAAGCAGGUUAGCACACACACACACACACACACACACACACUGUAAGAAAAAUUUUAGAUAAGUGGGGUUUGCAGCUUUACACGCACAAGUUUGUUGUUAUUGUAGCCAGUUUGGUGUCUGAAUCUUGGGCUAGCAGGUGACGCUGAACUAGGUGUGUGAGCAUAUCGUAUUUAUAGUGUCUGAGUUUUUGUUUCUUCACUUGGGAAAUGGCAAUAUUAAAAGCAUCCACUUCAUAGGGAAGCUGUAAGGACAGAUUUCUAGAAGUGGCAGGUGACGUACAGCUUUAUCUGCAGAGCCAGGACGUUGGAAACUCAAUGUUGAACAAUAGGUGAAUGGUUGAGCCAAUUAUUGUACAGCCAUAUGAUGUUCAUUAGAGUAACAAGCCAUUCUUUCACUGAUGUAAAAGUAAUUACAGCCAGCUGAGAUCCAAAGUGAUGAGGAAGUCUUAACUGGGUAGAGGGGAAAUAGUAAUUAUAAUCACUAAUAUGUAUAUAGUGGUCAUAUGCCAGAUCCUAGGUAAGUCUUGCAUUUGUAACUACUCAUUAAAUCCUCAGAGUAACCCUAAGAAAGAGCUACUAUUAUUAUAUAAACUCAUUUUGCACAUGAGGCUACUGGGGCAAAGUAGUAUUAAAAAAUCUAUUGGGGGCUUCCCUUGUGGUCCAGUGGUAGAGAACCUGCCUUGCAAUGCAGAGGACACUGGUUCAGUCCCUUACGUGGGAAGAUCACACAUGCCACUGGGCAAGUAAGCGCAUUCACCACAACUACCGAGCCUGCACACCUAGAGCGUAUGCUCAACAGCAGAAGCCACCGCGGUGAGAAGCCUGCACACCACAACUAAAGAGCAGCCCCUGCUCGCAGCAGCUGGAGAAAGCCCUGGGUGCCGCAGUAAAGACCCAGUGCGGCCGAAAGCAAAAGUUUGGGUUUUUUUAAUUAAAGAAAAAAAAAAAAACCAUAUCUGGCCAGUAGGUGGCCAGGCCGGAAUUAGUAUAAAGGAAGUGGGGGAUGUGUGUGUGGUUAGGAAGCAGAGUGGACGAAAGAUGUCUCCGCCAGGUGUCACCUAACUAAGAUUUCCUUGAUAAAUGUAGGACAUGGCUGUGUUGCAGACGAAUGAAACACACCAUUAUAGCAGUGCUGGCAUCGGAGCCUAGCAGCCCGCCCAAAAUACAGAUGGAAACCGCCACAUACUCUGCGUGGAAAGCCCUUCACGUAUCAAGGAUUAAGUUGUCAUCGUUCUGGGGAGGAAAAAAAAAAAUUAAUGAAGUGGCCAAUAAUACGAAGGGAUUCAUGGAUCAGUUUCCUUUCGCUCCCUGGGGUGGAUUUCACUUAGAAGAAAAUUGAAGCUGACAAGACCCUGUUUUCUCCGCAAUUUAUUUAAAACCUUGCACGCAUUUGGAUACCUUGUGAUUUCCAAGAACUGUGUGAAGAUUAAGUUUUGCUUACUGAUACAUGGCAUGUAUUCUUUUCAGUCUUUUGCGUUUGAUUUUGUUUGAUUUCCCUCUGCACCGCAGCGUCUCUGUAAAGGUUUUUAUGCUUUCACCAGCCAUGUCUUAAAUACAUUAAGACAACACACUCGGUGUUCACACUUCCUCAGUAAUGUCUGUACUUGAAAGCCACAUAGUGGCAUGAAACAAUGUGUGUUUUCUUUGAGAGCAGUGCACAUUUUGCAGCCACCAGGAAGGAAAAUUGUAGCUGAAGCAAACCCAUGUUCUCUGACUGACUUGACAACUUGGUCUCUGGCGGUGGAGCACCACUUGUCUCUUCCUUUUGAGAACGUUUGCAAAUAUGCUUUUUUUUUUUUUUCUCUCGGAAACAACUGCACAUUUAUAUAAGAUAUCGGAAUCUGCUUAGCAUCUUCAAGCCACAUAGCAUGACUGUUCUCCGAGCAGGCUGGAAGUGAAGAAACAAAUAUGAAACAUUAAGAACAAAGACAGGGAUAAAUCGCUUCCUUUUGAACCUCUGGAAAUUGAGGUAACUUUUUACAUGUUUUCUGGGUCUUGUCAACAUCUUAUUUUUUCCAUCCACUUUGUUAUGCUUUGUAUUUUCUAAAUGGUGAAAAGUGAGGAACAGAAUGUUUAAAUCGUGGGUGCAAAAGACUUAUAUCCUCUGGAUGAGCCCCAAAUACUGUCUUUACUAGUCAACAUUGAAAAAGCAGAUUACCAAGUUAUCCAGAGUGUGAAACUUUCCCGUUUACACCAAAGCACCUUUGAACCACAUUUUCUUUUUUAAACAUUCCAAGCUGAUUGGAAGGCAUAAUUGGGUACCCUACCUGUAAACAGUCUCCGGGAAUAACUGCACGGAUGCAGGUGUUAGAGACAAGGCAGGAGUCUUGCUUUAAAGAUGGAAAGGGGGGAAAAAGAGAAAAGCCUGGCUUCGCUUGUUUAAGAAGUUGAGAGACCCUGGAGGAUGAAGGCGAAUACGUGAAUGGAGCGAGAUGUGGGCUGGGCGUGCGGAUUUUGAUCCGGGGGAGCGCUGCCUGGCACAGGUCUGUUCCUGGCGGGGCAGCCCCCGCUGCAGAUGCCAAAUAACACUGAGGCUAAUGGGAAAGUUAGGAAGCGUCAUCUAGAGCAUGAAACCUAGCUCCUCAGGACACCAGUUCUUAUGGAAAUCCCAGCAUGUACCUUGUUUUACCUUGCCUGUUAGAGAGGAGAGUCGCACUUUCUAGGGUCAAGAAUAGGAAUUACCAGCCAGCUUGACAAAGACUUUUCCCUGAGCGUCAGGUGAAGGAAAAGCUUUUCUGUGGUCAAACCCACUACACAUAGGAAAUCGGACCCAGAAUUUCUUAACAUUAAAACGGUACUUUCCCUGGAAUGGGAUGUGAGGAUAGAUGUUAAGGUCACAAUCCAUCUUGUCCCCAAAGUAGCAUUCAUUGUAAACUUCUGAGUGCUAAGCCAUUUACUGGUUGAUUUAAAAGAGAGGAAAAGUUAUCCAAGGCCAGAAUGUUUACUCUUUGCCACCUAGAACUCCUUCCGGUUCUUCUUUCACACAUUCCAACUCUUUGGAAGUCUGCAGAGGGAUUUUGACUUAAUGUGUAUUUACUUUAGGAUUUCUUAAAGUAAACAUGGGAAGAAAACUUGACCUGCAAUCAGAAAACAAGCCUCUCCUGUGAUUUGUCUGAAUUAUUCAUUCUGGGGGAGAGGCAGAGCUUUUGUACUUAAUGAGGUUUAAACCAAGGGCAACUGAUGAUGAAGUCUUGCUACAUAAUAAGUUUUCUAACUUGAAAAUUUGAAGAUAUUUAAUGUUUAAAGACUUCACUUAGAAAUGUUAAGUUAUCCACAGAUCUGUGACCCUAUUACUGACAGUUUCUCUUGCAAAAUGAAAUGUGAUACUGCUCAGUAAAAGGAAUAUGUUUUAUUACAGUGAUGUGUUUCAGAAGGGUCUCACUUAGGAGACCUCUGGUUCCCCUUGCUUGCCGUUGGUUCGGGACAUCCAAAGUUUCCUUCUCUUUCCUCUCCCACUUGCAACUACCUUUUCCUUUUUUCCCUCUCCUCUCACUGAGGACAGCCAUGAAAAUCACUCGAGACUGUGUUCAUGAGCAGAUUUAUUAUUCUGUUGAGAAAGCACUGGAAUGUUUUGUGAGAUAUUUUUAUAUGAAGGAGUAGCUUCAGUUCAAACAGCUGGAAUAGUUGGAACAUGUUAGCAUGGUAGCUCUAUCCACAUGACCGCACACACAGUGCUCUGAAAGGAAACCUGGGACUUCGUUUCCAUUGUCUUGAAGGAAGAGUUUGGUUGACUUAAAGAUACAAGAUACACAGGACAUGGAAAAAAAAAUGUUUGCAGUACUCAGAAAAAAAAGCAAAACAGGGGUGUAAGAUGGGAAUGGCUGUCCCUCCAGUAACACAAGGAUGAGAAGCUAUUCCUCCCUCCCAAGAGUGACAAGAUGAGUCCCUGAGGAGCCUUCAAGCUUGCAGAAAGCACGGUCUCUUGGUAUCCUUUCCUCAGUGUGUACAUGAUAGCCAGUGUAAUCAAUACCUUAGGUAAUGAGUCUACACAAGAUAAUCAUCUGUGAAUAUUACUGGUUUUGUAAUCUUUGUUAUAUAAGAGGAUGUUUAGGCUGUACAUACUGGGGUAGAUUAUUGCCUGCCCCUUAUACAUAGGAAUAUGCUGCAUAAUUGCAUAGAACUUCCAUCUCCCUUACCAGCUUGUAGGCAGAGGAAACCAUAUGUGCUACUGCCUUAUAAUUUUCUCAGACACCAAAAGCCAAACCAAACAAAAUCAAAUCAAAUAAGCAGUCUCCUCAUUCCUUUCCUAUAGCAGCAUAUUUUAGAGGCACAUACAAAAUCUAGAGUCUCUAGUUGGGAGUGGAUUUUUUAAAUUUUUCUUUUAUCUUUUUUUUUUUUAUAUAUGAUACACUGAAAUGUGUACUUUCUAACAGGAGGUUGGUACCUAAGAAAUGAGCUAGCAUCAUUCAGAAAACUGUUAUCCUUCAAAAUGAUACAUAGUAAAGGAGAAUGGAAUAAUUCAUGUUGCAUAUUUGUUACCAAUUGUAAUUUGUCUGUAUUAUGAAAGACGUAAUGGUUUGUCGGCUGUCACUGUUGUUUUCUUGUAACAUGAUAUGGAAUAAAGUAUAGCAGAAUCUCUGUACAUUUUUUUUUUUUUGGUACAUCUUCUUGGUGAGUCUCAAAUAACACCUUAUAUUCCAUCAAAGAAACAUUAUCUUAAAUACUCUUAGACACAACCAGGCUUAAAGUAUAGGGACAUCCCUGGCAGUCAGUGGUUAAGGCUCCCAGCUUCCAGUUCAGGGGGACCAGGUUCAAUCCCUGACUGGUGAGCUAAGAUCCCACAAGCCACACAGUGUGGCCCAAAAAAAGAGAAAAAAGCGGGGGGGAGGGAAUAGUGCAAAUAAGAGACCAAGUAUACCAUGCUUUGGGAUAUGUGAAGGCGCGAGUUAGCUGGGAUGUGCCAGGUAUCUGUUAAAUUCCCCCUUUGCUCAAACUCAAUGUCCGUUGAAUUGGUGAUGCCAUCUCACCCUUGGUUGAUCUCUUCUCUUCCUGCCCUCAAUCUUUCCCAGCAACAAGGUCUUUUCCAACAAGUUGGCUGUUUGCAUCAGGUGGCCAGAGUAUUGGGGCUUCAGCUUCACUAUCCGUCCUUCCAGUGAAUAUUCAGGGUUGAUUUCCUUUAGGAUUGAUAAAGGCAAAGGAGAAAGGUGAAUAGGUUACCCUCCAUUGAAUACAAAUCAAAGCCCGAACAUGCUGACAUUCUGUCAGAGGCAUUACUGUUUGGGCAACGGAGCACACUUCUCUGAACCCUGCCGAGCGGGCACCCGCACCUGACCCAGCACUGCUGGGCGCUGCCCUGGGAGGGACCUUGCCACCUGGGGAGGCCAGUCUCAUUUCUAUCACCACCUCUUCUUUCUUGUUGGAUCUUCAUAACCCCAACAAAUCGCCAUGAAUUGAUAAUAAAGUUCACAACACAUGGGCAUGCAUUCAUUCGUUCUUUGAUCCAACAAAUAUUUUUCAGUGUCUAAACUGCCAGGCACAUCACCAAGUAUUAGGAAUACAAAAGAAUGUGUAAAAUCUGCUCACUUUUUUUCCCCACACUGCUUGCUUUCUUCCAACUUCCAGAUAUGCAGUUGGGUGAUCUUUAAAUGUUUCUCUUUGAAGAGAAAAUAUCAAAAUUCAUAUCUCAUGUUAAGAGGAGCUGGACCCCUGGCUUUCUCCCCCUAAGCAGACCCUCACCCCCCAACAGCAGGUACUUCGGUGUCCUUUCCCUGGCUCCUUUCCCGGUAACUCCUGUGAUGGUACGGUUUAUAAGCCCCCACAAGCUGACACUGUCACAGAACCGAAUUUAAGUAUUCCCAGUUGAUGUGAAUUGCAUGCUGCAAAAGUUAAUGAGAGCCCUGCGUCUCCAGCCCUCAACUGCCCCUGCCGUUUCCCUGAAGCAUCUAGUCAUCUAUGUCAAAGGCACGCACAUUUCCACACAGUUCUGGCCUCCCCAGUGGGUUCUGAGACGGGGAGGGUGUAGAGCUGCAGUCCCCAGCCUUUUUGGCAACAGGGACCGGU